GAUGAACGCUAGCGGCAGGCCUAACACAUGCAAGUCGAGGGAGAAGCCCUUCGGGGCAGAAACCGGCGCACGGGUGCGUAACGCGUAUGCAACCUACCUUUCACAGGGGGAUAGCCCGAAGAAAUUUGGAUUAAUACCCCAUAAUAUUAUUGGGUGGCAUCAUUUGAUAAUUAAAAUUACGAUGGUGAAAGAUGGGCAUGCGUCCUAUUAGCUAGUUGGAGUGGUAACGGCACCCCAAGGCUACGAUAGGUAGGGGUCCUGAGAGGGAGAUCCCCCACACUGGUACUGAGACAGGGACCAGACUCCUACGGGAGGCAGCAGUGAGGAAUAUUGGUCAAUGGUCGGAAGACUGAACCAGCCAUGCCGCGUGCAGGAAGAAUGCCUUAUGGGUUGUAAACUGCUUUUAUAUGGGAAGAAUAAGGGGUACG
rnacentral:rRNA from 1 species